ACAUAGUUUUACUCUUUCCCUUAACCUUACCUUCCCCUUCGUAUGAAAUAUUAUCAUCCCUUUUUUGGAUCUUAUUCGGGUGUAAGGAAGAAAAAUUGCAUAUGCAGUGAAUGAAGAACAGGUUUGGAUAUAUUGGGCCGUGAAUGAAAAAUAAAUGCUGAUGACGUGAAUGGAAAAUUGCACGUGCAUAGAUUUUAUUGAAGUUUGCUUUACCUGCUGUUUUAUUUUCUCAUUAUGUUUCGGGCAUGAAAAUUGGCAAUAUAUUUUAUUUGAUUGCUGUUGCGAUAAGUUUUACCUCUUUGAUUAAGUGAUCCUUUGGGUAGUUGGCUAAUUAAGCAUUUCAUAUUUCAUCUAUUUGGUUCUGCUGAUUCUUGAAAAUCAUUUAUGCAGGAAUCUGCUGCUGUUAACACUGCAAUCCAGGAAGCCAUAUUUUGGGAGGUGGGAAUGGGUGAGUUUCUUUCUGUUUGAUGAUGCACUAGGUGAGAAAUUCUCUUUGCUUGCAUUACUGCCAUUUUGGCCAGUAAAAAUGUAGAACAGUAGAAGCAAUACCUCUAACUUUUGAAUUCUAUGCAUGUAAACGUGAGGUGCAUAUUUGCCUUAUUUUACAUGGGCUGAGCUUACAAGCUAUUGAAGCUAGUUGGCAUAGUCUUGCUCCGAUCAUUCUCUUAUUCAGACAAACUCCAAAUGGCUGCAAGUUUAGAAAUCCAUAAUCGCAUAUGGUGACCUAAGCUACUGCACUUCAGGCUGAAAGCAAUUCAAUGCCAUGCUUUAUGAUCCUUUUGAUUGAGUGUGAGGUGGAAGAAGUGGGCUGCCUCACUCGUGCUCUUGGCAAAGUUAAAGAUAGUGCGUAAGUUUUGUUGGUUGAUGGAAAGUGUACUUUAAGGUAAUUCAUAAGUUUUGUAGGUUGAUGGAGAGUGUACACAAUCUUGCUCUGGGUUUUCAUUAUCUUAUAUCUUUACACUUUCAUCACUUCUUUUGAAAACUGGGAUGAAAAGUAUAGCUUGAAACAGUGAGUUCUUACAAGGAAUUGUAAGAACUGUGCGCAGCAAUGUCAUGUCCUAAGGUUCGUAUGUCAAAGUGAGACAUUCUUAAUUGAUAGUUCCUAGUCAUGAUGCUGUGAACUUUUAGUUUUUAAGCUGUCUUUCUUGACAAUGAAAGAGCUACUUUCUGUUACUUUGACUGGCAGGGAAGCUUUCUGAUGGCUAUUUUGUUGUUCUUGCACAGUAUCAUUAAAGCUACUUUCUCACAAUUGCAUAUUGAUGUUUUGGCAUUUCAAGCCUGGGAAAAGUGAGUAUGAUUUAUGGGAAUGAUUAUGAUUUGAUAAUUUGCUUCUAUAAAUUUGUUGCAAGGUAACCCCUCGACGUUGAGUCUUCUUAAUGUAGUUUUCUGAGGCAGUGAUUUUGACACGGCAAUCAAAUAGUAAUCAUCUAUGAAUUUCAUCUUUUUGUGGUAGCUUGUAUGACAUUUUGUGUAGUUUAAAAUUCUAUUGUGUUGUGUCUCCCAUGUGGAAAAACCCCUUGUCUUAUUUGUGUCCUGUUAUGAGUGCACACAUGUUCUUUCCAAUCUCUGCUGUCAAUGGUAUGGUUAUUUGAAAUUAGGUCCUUGAUAAUCAUCCAAAAAUUUGACUUUUCUGUUAUUCAGUUGUUUGCUGUCUUAUUAGCUUCUACUCUCUUCUCUUUUUUUUUUCUUUUUUUUUUUUUUUCCUAAUCAAGGAUUUGAAUGAAAUCUUGAGCUUAUAGCAUUCUCUCCAAAAUCCAGUAUCAUUUUGAUUUUCUUAGUCAAAAUUUGGCUUACCUUCCUCUCAUUGUAGAAGUUCAUAUUCAUAGUACGGACAGAAAUAGAAUAUUGUUAAAGAUUUCAAAAGAUAAUUACAUAUUAAUGCAAGUGCUAUGAAUAAUACCACAAUCCAUCUCCAUUCUUCUCCUUUGUCAGUCUUUUGCCAGCAGGGAUAGGGGAGGGGGGAGGAAUGAAGAGGGUGGGAUGGAAUUUAACCUAAGAUCUAUCUUCUAUAUUCUCUAACAAUUAGAUGCAAUUCAAGUUACAGCCAAGUACAGUGAUAUCACAUUGAUACUUACAAGGCUACUGAAGACAAAUAACUUGUAUAUUCUGUAGGGCUCCUCGUCUCUAUUUUCUCUUUCACCUUCUCUCUGCCAACACUGCUGCUUAGCCCCUCACUGUUGCGGCUGCUGCUCUGCCUGAGUUACAUCAUUCCUGCCCCAACCCCACCCCUUUCUUUUAUUUCCUGGUGUAUCAGUUUCAAUGCAUGCCUGAUCAUUUUACAAUAUCUUGUCACUGUUCUUGACAUUUGUUAAGUUAUAUGUUUGUAUAUUGAUCGUCACUGGGUGUACUGUAAGUUGGUGAAGGAAAUGAAAAUCCCAUCUUGUUUGUAAUGAUCUAUUGUCCUUGUAUUUAUGAAUUGAAACACUGUAUUUACAUAUUAGAUUAUCUGAUUCUGUAUGGUCCACUGUUGAUAUUCAUCAAUUGACAGUGGAGAGGUGGCCUAUGAUGAAGCUGAGCUUGGACCAGAUGAGUUUGCUGAAAUAAUGCACAAUCAACAAAAUUUACUGGAACAGAUAGUGUCUAGCUACAUUUUGGCGUGAGUUUGGUUGAAGGUUGUUGCUAAAUGGUGCAAGAUGAUUUUAUUUUUAAUUUCAGCAAAUGGAGAUGCUAAAGUACAUGCGUAAAUCUCACCUGGAUGAUCAAUCUGCAAUUAUUGGAAAGUUACAUGCCUGUCUGUGAUAAAUAUUUAUAUGCUCUACAAGAGGAUUGAUUUAAUCUAGUGGAAACUGAAUUAGGACACAUUCAACUUCAUGUUUUCUUUCUUUUUUGUGUUUUUUGAAUGUCUUAAAAUUCUUAUUCUAAAAUUUAGUUUAGAGACCAGUUGUAUUAUUUUGCAAUACAAAGGGCCUCUUUCAAUCUUAAAAUGGAUAUUUUGUUAUUCAAUUACACAAGCAGAUUCAAACUGCUGAUUUUGUCAGUGAGGCAUCAGUUUUACCAUCAGAACAAAAUGAGGAUAUCAUUUGUAGGAGAGUUUCUCCUUUAUAUAUUCCCAGGAAGAUUAGAAUUCAUAUAUCAGUUAGCAUAGUUUCAAUGUAGCAGACUAAAUUUUGGUAUGCACUCUCAGAGCAAUUUCUUUUUGCAGCAUAUGCUUGCAUAUAUACUGAAAAUUUGCUCUGGAGUAUUGAAUUUUAUCCCCUAUUUCUUGGAUUCCUUAUAUAAUUUUUUCUUUUAUUAUAUAAUUAUAGACUUGAAAUUGACGUUCUAAACAUCCUGCAAAAGCCAUGUAAAUUCAAUUAUUACUUUUUGCCUCUAGAGUCAACAUUUGGCGAUGAUAGUGCUAGUGUGCUUAUCUUAGCUGUUCCCAUUUGGACCAUUGUUAACUUCUUUUCUUUUCUUUCUUUUUUUAUUUUUUGGUAACCUUUUAACAUAGGCUACACAGUCUUCAACCGUGGAAGCCACCUUGAUAUCUCUGCAGGAAACGAGAAACCGCUGAAGCAAGUAGCACAGCUUUGUUUUUACCGGAUGGUUCUUACUGGUAGUUUUAUGCUAGUUUCUUGCAUAAGCAAUAAACUUUUGUUUACAUCAUUUAAGAAAUGGCACAGGAGUAGCAAUUGAGCAUCUAGAACUAGAACAAAGGUAUCAUCACCUCUCUCCAUGGUGGCCUCAGCUUCCAGGAAUUGCAGUUGUAACUGCCACUUUUUAUCUAGCAGUUCUCAAACAGAGGCUAUUAGGAGCAGUUUUUAUUUGGCGAGGCAAGCCACCAGAUUAAGUGCGCGAGGACCGUGCCUGUAAAUGACCCUAACAUCAACUCAUUAGCGUGAUGUCUGGUUGUUGUCAUCUGUUCGUCAGUUAAAACAAGUGGUUGAUCUCUGCUAGCAAAUGGCAAAAAGAACGGGGCUAGGUCGGAUUGCCUUCUGAUCCAUAUACUCUUGGGUUUGACCCCGCUUUCUCUCUCUCCUCUAGGUUUUUUUUUUUUUUUUUUUGUAUUUGUGUUAUGGGUUGGGUUUGAUGAGCCUUAGACUGUUGGAGUUUAUUUUUCUAUUUGGACGUAGUCCCACAUGUUACAGGCCUAUGUACCCUUUCUCUUAAUGAAAUGUCCUUAAUUCAACUGUCAUAUAUAUAUAAAUUUUAUUUCUUUUAGUUUU